UUUUCAUCCAAAUUUUAAGCCACCCCACUUUAAAGAACAGAUGGCUUUAGGCACCACUAGCUGGUGUAGCGAACACCCCCUAGACAAUAUAGGGGCACCCAAUUUUGUAGCCAACAAAGCCAUUCUUUUGGUCGCAACAAUUGGUACGUCUCAUGUGACGAAUGACAUUUAUCUAAAAAGUUGGGUUUAAUGUUACCCGGAAAGAAAAAAAGUUGGGUUCAAGGC
rnacentral:lncRNA from 1 species